CGCCACGAUGGACACACAUUGUUCGAGGUCCAAACAGUUUGAGCGAUGCCGUGAGAACGGAACACUAAAAUCACCUUUCGACUGAGCG
rnacentral:snoRNA from 1 species